rnacentral:rRNA from 1 species
AUUGUCUGAUGCCACCAUGAACAAACCCUGUUCCUGGAAGCUAAGCAGGAUUGGGCCUGGUUAGUCCUUGGGUGGGUGACCCUUGGGGGAAACACAGGAGACGGGCAGGG